rnacentral:rRNA from 1 species
ACGCCGCGUGAGUGAGAAGGAUUUCGGUUCGUAAAACUCUGUUGUAAGGGAAGAACAAGUACAGUAGUAACUGGCUGUACCUUGACGGUACCUUAUUAGAAAGCCACGGCUAACUACGUGCCAGCAGCCGCGGUAAUACGUAGGUGGCAAGCGUUGUCCGGAAUUAUUGGGCGUAAAGCGCGCGCAGGUGGUUUCUUAAGUCUGAUGUGAAAGCCCACGGCUCAACCGUGGAGGGUCAUUGGAAACUGGGAGACUUGAGUGCAGAAGAGGAUAGUGGAAUUCCAUGUGUAGCGGUGAAAUAA